rnacentral:rRNA from 1 species
GACGAACGCUGGCGGCGUGCCUAAUACAUGCAAGUAGAACGCUGAAGGGAGAGCUUGCUCUUCUGGAUGAGUUGCGAACAGGUGAGUAACGCGUAGGUAACCUGCCUGGUAGCGGGGGAUAACUAUUGGAAACGAUAGCUAAUACCGCAUAACAUUGACUAUUGCAUGAUAGUCAAUUGAAAGGUGCAAAUGCACCACUACCAGAUGGACCUGCGUUGUAUUAGCUAGUUGGUGGGGUAACGGCUCACCAAGGCGACGAUACAUAGCCGACCUGAGAGGGUGAUCGGCCACACUGGGACUGAGACACGGCCCAGACUCCUACGGGAGGCAGCAGUAGGGAAUCUUCGGCAAUGGACGGAAGUCUGACCGAGCAACGCCGCGUGAGUGAAGAAAGGUUUUCGGAUCGUAAAAGCUUCUG